rnacentral:rRNA from 1 species
AUACGUAGGGGGCGAGCGUUGUCCGGAAUGAUUGGGCGUAAAGGGCGCGUAGGCGGCUUUGCAAGUCAGUGGUGGAAGUCCAUUUUUCAAGGAUGGAAGUGCUACAGAAACUGCGGAGCUUGAGUGCAGGAGAGGUUAUCGGAAUUCCCGGUGUAGCGGUGAAAUGCGUAGAGAUCGGGAGGAACACCAGUGGCGAAGGCGGGUAACUGGACUGCAACUGACGCUGAGGCGCGAAAGUGUGGGGAGCAAACAGGAUUAGAUACCCUGGUAGUCCACACUGUAAACGAUGAAUGCUAGGUGUAGGAGGUAUUGACCCCUUCUGUGCCGCAGUAAACACAGUAAGCAUUCCGCCUGGGGAGUACGGUCGCAAGAUUAAAACUCAAAUGAAUUGACGGGG